rnacentral:lncRNA from 1 species
CACUCGGGAGAAACGAUCGUUACCGGACAGACCGCCUCUGGCAGGACGUGGAGCCUCGCUGUCACUCGGGAAGGGACGAGACAGUCACAGGCCGGGGGCGCGGGCGGCGCACGCGGCUGCCCAGGUAGCGCAGAUCCAAGGAGACCGGUUGUAAACUGCAGGAUUGGACUUGAGCAGAGCCCACCCGCCUCCACCUGCAGGCGGUGGCCCCCCGUUGGCUCGGUCUUCUUUUCUAAAAACAAUCGAAAGAACAGCCUGCAAGUGUGGAGGCGCGACGGCUGGGCGCGCGGCCGCCUGGGAGGGUGGCCUGGAAUCGCGCCACUGCACCUCGGGUCACCGCGGGGAGCUCCCGGACCCCACGGCCGCCGCUUUCCUGGAGCAGGAGCUGGAUGCUCCGCUCACGGGCGAGGAGCCCGUUCAGGCCUGUGGAGCGCCGGGGUCUGGACGGACACUGGGCCUCUGUCACUUUCGGUUGCCCUCCUCACUGGGAUGGAAGAGAAAGGGCCGGCGCGCAGGCCAACCGGUGGCCGAUGCUUUUGGAACUAGUUGGCGUGGACACGCGUGUUUCCGGGAACCGCGGUUUCCUGGAGGCCGAGCUCUGGGAAACGGCGGCCUGGGGCUCGAGGUCCUCCUCGGAAAGCAGCGGCGGCGCAGACCGAGGCGCCCUCCACUCCUCGCCCGGGGCUCCCGGGAGGCGGGCAGGCCCAGCGGCGACGCGGCCCGAAGUCGUGCGCGCGGGCGGCGAGGGGGCGCUGUGGCCCGCGGAUGCCGCCUCGUCCCCGCCGCGGUGGGCCUGGUGCCGUCCCCGGCCACCGAGGGCGCCCCGGCCGGACCUCCCCAACGUCGACUGCAUUCGGGGCAAAGGGACAGCAACCCUGGAGCGUUUGAAUAAAGCCUAG